CCUGCCUGUGACGGCGGCGGCGGCGGCUCCAGACACCGGCGGCGGCGGCGGCGGCGGCCACCCCGCGGCGGCGACCCCGCGGCGGCGCGAAGAUGUGGCCCCUGGUGCUGCUGCUGCUGUUGGGCUCGGCGUGCUGCGGUUCCGCUCAGCUAAUAUUUAAUAUAACCAAGUCUGUAGAAUACACCGUUUGCAAUGAAAGUGUCAUCAUCCCAUGCUUUGUUAAUAAUGUGGAGGCGAAAAGCAUUACUGAAAUGUAUGUAAAGUGGAAAUUUAAAGGAAAAGACAUUUACACCUACAGUGGACAAGGGCAAAAGACCACUAAUGACCUCGACUUUAAGAGUGCAACUAUCACAGCUUCAGAAUUACUAAAAGGCAUUGCCUCUUUGAAGAUGGAUAAGAGGGACGCCCGUGUAGGAAACUAUACCUGUGAAGUGACAGAAUUAAGCAGAGAAGGCGAAACCAUCAUAGAACUGAAAUAUCGUGUUGUUUCUUGGUUUUCUCCAAAGGAAAAUAUUCUCAUUGUUAUUUUCCCAAUUUUGGCUAUACUUCUGUCCUGGGGACAGUUUGGUAUUGUGACACUUAAAUAUAAAUCCAAUCCUAUGAAGGGGAAAACCAUUUUUUUAUUUGUUGCUGGACUGGUGCUCACUAUAGAUGUCAUCGUUGGAGCCAUUCUUUUCAUCCCAGGUGAAUUUUCAACAAAGAAUGCUUGGGGACUUGGUUUAAUUGUAAUUCCUACAGCAACAUUAACGUUACUUCAGUACUGUGUGUUUUCGAUGUCUUUUGGGAUGAGCUCCUCCACCAUCGCCAUACUGAUCCUCCAGGUGCUGGGCUUUGUGCUCUCUGUGGUUGGACUAAGCCUCUGUAUCUCAGAGUGCACCCCAGUGCAUGGCCCUCUUCUGAUUUCAGGUUUGGGUAUUAUAGCUCUAGCAGAAUUAGUUGGAUUAGUUUAUAUGAAAUUCUUUGAGUUCAGAGGCACACCUUCGGUCAGUUGAAGGGCAAGAAGAGAAAAGAUUCCCAUAAGAAGACUAUACAGACUUCUAGGAAAGCUGUAGAGGAACCCCUUAAUGAAUAACUGAAGUGAAGUGACGGACUCUGAUUUGGAGAAUAGUAAGACGUGAAAGGAAUACACUUGUGUUUAUGCACCAUGGCCCUGAUUCACUGUUCUGGAGAAUAAAACAAGAAAAGUAACUGGUUUUUAUCUACAGGAGAAAGUAUAUCAUUGACCCUUAAAUGAUUGUUAUAAAUAAGAUUUUAUUCAAUGCAUUUGUAAUUUAGUUAAUAAAAGAAUUAUGAUCUGUGUUGUGUGCCCAA